GUGAAACGCCAGCGAACACUGCUUGAAAAAGCUAACUAGCGAAGCAAACAACUGUAAUGCAUGCAACAGCCGUCAACAACAGGAUUCCCACGGGGACGAAUGGUCUAAGUUACUUAUAUUGCUAAAAAAUUCAGCCUGCUUUUCUCAAGGGACAGAUGCAGAAUGUCGGGAGAAGGCAAUUUUUGUAUGUCGUCGUCGUCGUCAUUCAUGUAUUCAAGCACUGUUCGACGUACCGCAGUGGGCACAUUAUUCAAUAUCGAAAACACCGAAGGGGGGCAGACCUGUAUCAACCUGUUGAACUAAACGCUUCGUAGUUUCGUGUGGCGCACGGUACCCGACUAUGCAGAGGGUCUAAAAGUGCUGCCAUGACGGGUUUAUUCAUGCUUCACGAUAUCUAAUACCUUAGCAUAUACCAUCUAGAACAGUAAAAAAAGCAUUUAG